CCUACGGGUGGCAGCAGUGGGGAAUAUUGCACAAUGGGGGGAACCCUGAUGCAGCGACGCCGCGUGGGUGAUGAAUUACUUCGGUAUGUAAAGCUCUAUCAGCAGGGAAGAAAAUGACGGUAUCUAACUAACAAUCCCCGGCUAACUACGUGACAGCAGCCGCGGUAAUACGUAGGGGGCAAGCGUUAUCCGGAUUUACUGGGUGUAAAGGGAGCGUAGACGGCUUGUCAAGUCUGUUGUGAAAGGCCGGGGCUCAACCCCGGGACUGCAUUUGAGACUGGCAUGCUGGAGUGCCGGAGGGGUAAGCGGAAUUCCUAGUGUAGCGGUGAAAUGCGUAGAUAUUAGGAGGAACACCGGUGGCGAAGGCGGCUUGCUGGACGGUAACUGACGUUGAGGCUCGAAAGCGUGGGGAGCAAACAGGAUUAGAUACCCUUGUAGUC
rnacentral:rRNA from 1 species